AAAUUGAAGAGUUUGAUCAUGGCUCAGAUUGAACGCUGGCGGCAGGCCUAACACAUGCAAGUCGAACGGUAACAGGAAGCAGCUUGCUGCUUUGCUGACGAGUGGCGGACGGGUGAGUAAUGUCUGGGAAACUGCCUGAUGGAGGGGGAUAACUACUGGAAACGGUGGCUAAUACCGCAUAACGUCGCAAGACCAAAGAGGGGGACCUUCGGGCCUCUUGCCAUCAGAUGUGCCCGGAUGGGAUUAGCUUGUUGGUGAGGUAACGGCUCACCAAGGCGACGAUCCCUAGCUGGUCUGAGAGGAUGACCAGCCACACUGGAACUGAGACACGGUCCAGACUCCUACGGGAGGCAGCAGUGGGGAAUAUUGCACAAUGGGCGCAAGCCUGAUGCAGCCAUGCCGCGUGUAUGAAGAAGGCCUUCGGGUUGUAAAGUACUUUCAGCGGGGAGGAAGGUGUUG
rnacentral:rRNA from 1 species